GGAUGUGCUCAUAAUGUUGUUUUCUUAAUGUUGUGACUGCGGCGGACAAGGCCAAAGUCAGAGCAACGAAAAGCUGUUUAUUCGGCAAGAUAGGCCAUUUUAGAAAGAAUAAACGACAAACGCAGCAGUGCCGGAUGUUUAUGUACACACGCCAGCAAGCAGAACGCCGGCAGGCACACGACACGUGCGCACACAACUGCGUCGCAACAACAGCGCAGCGACGCCGCACAACCGACGCAAGAGCACGUCUCUGAUAGCACAACAGAACGACGCCACAUGGCUGAAAGCCAAAACGCGUCUCGGAUAAAACAACACUCCUUCCCUCUUUUUUUUCUUUGUUCGGUUUGUACCGAUAAGGAGGCUUUCUGGUACAGGUGCUGCGUCGAAGAGCUUGUUUCCCGAUUUCGAUGAAGACGGAAAGUUCUCUGAAGGCGCCGCUGGUUUCAGUAGCGACCCUGGAGACUCUAAAGGAGUCUCUGGCGACGAAACAGGCGAUUCAGAAAUAGGUUCCGUGAACCCUGGUGGAAUCCUCAUACGUAGUGGCUCUGUCUCAGCCAACAAGGACGGGCAUAAGUUGUCCACAUGAGCGAACUGCUUUCUUGACCGAUUUGUACGAUGUACGUUGGAGAACUGCAUCGCUAUUUUAUAACGCCGGGGAGCCAUUAGUCAUUGCGGAGCGAAGACCUCGCACCAGGGCUGCGCCAUUCAGCCUGAGUGACCACCAGUCUCCUCGCUUUUCACGUAGCAUGUUCUUUGGCUUGCAAAAUCGCUCAUGCAUGCGGUCUCUUGGAUUCGGCAGCAGGGAGGUAAGACGGGUGCGCGGCUUCUACGAGAGGAUCAACUCUGCAGUGGUCUUCUCCGUGGAUGCAGUAGGUGUAUUUAUGUACCUGAAAAGAAACAAAUUUAAAUAUUGCUCUAAGUUUCCAUUCGCACCCCCCACCCCCUUUUUUUAUUGUCACAUAGCUGUCGAAGCAGAUCUUUCUUUACGGUCUGUACGAGUCGAUCAGCGCUUCCAUUGGAUGCUGGAUGGUAGGGCGACGUUCUAGUAUGGCGCACGCCAUUAUUGCGAAGGAAACUACUGAAUGCAGUAGUCGUGAAGAGUGUCAAUUCCGGAAGUCCAUAUGCUGCAAAACACACUGCGCAGUUUUUUGAUAGUUCUGUCGAUUGUCGUUAUUGUCACCAGGAUGACCUCCAGUCACUUUGAGUGCGCAUCAAUUAACACUAACAACCACUGGGCCUCUGCGAAAACAGAUUCACCCGCUGCCACCUGCGCGUCGGCCACCUCCAUGCCAGCAAUGGCCAUUCUCGUGUGUGUCAAGUGACAAGCGCUGCAUCGCUGAACUAGACAAUAAAUGUCCUAAUCUUACCUCGCCCACCAUAAAGCUAUACAACCGACUAUUUUCAUGCGCGUCGUGCGUAGGUGACCUCUGCGUAAUAGGCGGAACACUUUCUCCCGUAAACAUUCAGGGAUGAUGACACGGUUAUCACACGAGACGCAUUGCUCAUAGAUGGAUAAUUCGUGUCACAUAACGAAAUAAGCAGACAAGACAUUAUCUGUCACGUGCGCUGACGAGCCAUUCAAAGUAUAGUCAAGCACUUUUGAUAAAACAGGAUCUCAGCGAGUUUCCUGCUGUGUAUCCGCAACAGAUAAUGAUACCUGGCCCACAACACAAAAGGACAUAAUCCGAAACAUAUUUUUCAUUUGGCAACGGCAAGCGCGUAAGAGCGUCAGCAUUUCCAACAGCACUGCCUUUUCGAUACGCCCACUGGUAUUUGUAUGCUGCUAGAAAUAACGCCCAGAGUUGCGUUCUUGCUACCGAUAUCACCGGUACGGGCUUUCCGUGGGCCAAAAGACUAGUUGAAGGCUGAUGAUCGAAAUAAAUGACAAACGUACGACCAUAGAGAUACUUAUGGAACAUUUCGAGCACCAAUGCUACAGUAAGGGAUUAUUUUUUUUCAUGUGAGCCUAGCCCCGUUCAGCCUUGCUCAAUGCUCUGGAGCGUAAGCAUUUGGCCUCUCGUCUUUUCCUAAUUUGUGGAAACGUAUGGCGUCAGCACAGUAUGAUGAAGAAGUCGAGGGUAAGACGGAAGCCCGUCUGGUCGGGAUGAUGAAUACUUAAAAGGAAGAGUGCCGGACACCGACCAAAAUGAUUUAAAAUCUACAUUUACGUUUCGGCUUCAACACGGGAGCCUUGUUCACAAUGAAACAAGCGGCAGAGCUGGCGCACUUUGUAUGUGCGGCUCAAAGCAUGAUUAUGACACUUGGCACACAUGGACGGCAGAUUGCCUUCGUUGCGGUUAAGGGGGUGCGCCGUGGUUUGGAUCAUCAGGGACUCAAGAUAAAGACGCGAAGAAUAAUUUAGUUUCUUGGCAAUAACGCGAUAUUUUUCCUAGUUAAUCUUAUGUGAUGUGGUUGGGCAGUGUUCGGCCCGGGCAUUCUAUGCAACGUGUCGUUUCUGGACGUCAUUCCUGUGCUGUUUAAGUCUUGUUUUGAAGUUGCUGGUUUUUCCGGCGUAGACAUACCUACAGUCCGCACAUGGAAUGACUUACACCACGCCUGGGAACUAGUCCUUUUCCAAAGUGUCUUUCACAUUCGCGAACUCGUGUCUCAGUUUCCGGGAGGGCACAUACGCAGCCUGCACGUCACAUAACCGCUGAACGCGUGCAAGAGCCUCACCUAUGCCAGGGACGUACGGUGACUAAGCCCGUUUUUUGGGGGGUCCAGGAGGGGUUGGCACUGAGCAAGUCAGCUGGCACCCUACUGAGUAAAUGAAGUAGUACCCAGAUUAGUACUCAGAGUACCCACAAGCCGUAAAUUCCCGCCUUACAAGUCCGCCAUGUGGUGUUCCGCUGUUGUGCACACGUUUUUCUCCCGACGAAAAAGAGAGGCGACAACAGACCUCGAUGUGUAGUUGACGUAGCGACCAGUGUGAGUUUGCGUCCUAAACACCUUGAAUAACAAGUUUGGCCCUCCGCGUCUCACAAGGGUGUCCAAGAAAUAUACGUAAAUAUAUAUUUUAGACCAUUUUGGUCGGUUUCCGGAGCUCUUACAUUUAAGUAUGGUGACGUAUCGCGAACUAGUCCCAAUUUCUCCUUUGGGUAUAAUACGUCAAGACGGUAUCUUGCGGGAGCCACGUUUUGCUUUGUUCAAAAGCGUUUUCUGCCUCACUUGACCACUGGAACCUCCUCUUCUUGGUUCAGCGCAUUGUACAAGGGCUUCACCAUAGCAGACAUCUUCAGUACAAGGUUACCAUAAAUAUUGAUCAAACCAAUAUACUCUCGCAACUGUGCUUCAUUCUUAGGUCUAGGAGUCUGCUUUGUCGCUUGAACUUUCCGAUCAGACGGGUGUAUACCACGCGAGUCUAAAACAUGUCCUCGAUAAGACAGGGACGUUUUCAACAACCUGCACUUUUCUUUCUUUACUCGAACGCCCUUUUCUUGAAAUCGUGAUAACACAUUCUGUACUUUCUGAAAACACUCGUCGAAUGAUGCUCGCGCGAUCUAUACAUCGUCCAAAUAGCACACAACAUGGUCAGGACCCUUCAAUAUAUCAUCCAUGACUGUCUGGAACAAUGAGGGAGUACCCGUAAGACUGUGUUGUAGUCGCGUGUACUUGAACAACUCUAGAUUUGUGUUCACGACUGCCAGACUUCUGGUAUGGACCCUUACGCUCCACUGGAACUAUUAGUUUCACCGGAACUGCGAACUGAGAACCGCCAUACGUUUUCAACUACAGAUUGCAGAGCUCUAAAGGUAGACUGGGCCAGUAACUAUUGCAGAUGCUUUCUGGCACAAUUGAAACAGAUGCUCCAGUGUCUAUCUGUAAGCGAACAUCUUUUUCUGCCACUCGAAGACAUAUUUCAUAACGCCCUGCAUGCUCACCACAGAAGCAAGCACUGCGUAACGCCAGUUCGUUGUCACUGUCUUCGCCCACUGCAUUUGUAAUGCCCUUGGCCUUAGCCUUGCAAAUUUUCGCUAAGUGUCUGUAGCGCUUGCAACGAUGGCAACAGCACUUGCGGAACUUGCAGACUGCCAGGUCAUUGACAGAUCCCCACCCGAAACAUUCUGACAACUAUCACGCGUUUACUCGUCAUUGUGGCGUACAAGAUUUUCUGUUCGGUUCUACGCGUUUUCCACUGUCUAGUUUACGACCAACUGCGUUGAGUGAUUGAACACAGCUGGGCAGAAACUUUUGGCCUUCUUUUCUUACCAGGUCUGUCUUUCAGAAUGUCGCAUGUACUUGUGAACUUUAAGGUUCCCUUCUUCAGCACCUCCGCUUGGGUUGCUCUGUCACGCAGCACGGUGACGAAACGGUCCCGAAGUGCGCCGUCAAGGAAAGUCCCAAAAUCCCAUGACGCCGCUGAACGCUUCAGCCCUACGCCUCCAAAAUGCUGUCUCAGAUUCUCCUUCUUCCUGGAAACGGGGAGUAAACUUAAAUCGUUCUGCAAUAAUCAAUGGCUUUGGAGCGUAAUGCGCCCUUCGUAUUUCUAGCAGCUGCUCAUAGGAGAAUUUGUGGCACUUACUAUCCCAUUUAUACCGUAAUAAAUCACUCGUGGGAGAGAUAAAAAGCGCUCAUAAAGGUUUCCUUCUGGAUUCUACCCUGAAAGUUCAGCUUUUGCGGCUCCGGAUAAACAACAAUGACGAUGGGAAAUUGCGUAGCGAAUAGGUUGGACUGGUAAUAAACACAACAUAAAAGCAAAUUGUUCUCCAACUUCUCAGUAUUGUUAUAACGAAGGGCUAUUCACUGUAUUGGAACUUCCAUGCCUGAAAUAGUAAAGUAAGUGAGAAAGAAAUAAAGAAAGAAAAAAAAAACAGAUGCAUCUAAAAAGUGUCGGUUGAAAAAAAAAUGUUUGAUGGUUUGAAAGUCCGCACAAAUUAGCUACCACCUCACGUUAAAGGGAAUAUGUAAGACUAUCUGCAGCGUAUGGCUGGAACAGGUAGUCUUAGAUGUAUACUACAAUAUAAGUAAAUGAUGAGCAAAACGAGAAGAAGGUAAAAGCGGCAGACAACGUUUCGACAAGUGGACUUUUCUGUUUCAAGGCGACAUAUGCUUUCCUCGGCACAGUAUACAUACGUAAGGUUCUUCUAGAUAAGGGUGCCGAGGAAUGCAUAUGACGCCUUGAAAAAAACAAGUGCAUUUGUCGAAACGUUGGCUCCUGCUUUUACCUUGUUAUCGUUUUGCUCAUCGUCUUGAAUUUCCAUCUCCCGCCUUGCCCGUGUUUUCCCCAAGUAACACAAUGUAGUAUAUGUGGUUAUUCGGGUGCUAUUAUUUCGAACUAUUUACCUGUCUUUAAACUGUUUGCUGAUUUAUGCGCAGACACGUAUUUAGUGUCACUUUGAAGUCGCCACACAUCCUGACUUUGUUGUUCGACUUGGGUACAACAUGGGACGCGGCCCACUCGCGUCUGUCUACACGUUCUACAUAUACUUCAAAUCAGGAGUUUGACCUGACAUCAGCAACAAGGAACAGCACCCAUUUCGUGAAAAUGAAGAAUAAAUGUUACUUUCCCAGUGAAAUAAAGCCAAGCAUACUUUUGGUAUUA